UUGGACUUUUGGCAAAAGCAAUGAGAGAGGUUUUUAGUCUAUAUAUUUUAUAAUAUAAAAUCCU
rnacentral:tRNA from 1 species